CUGGAAGCCACUCUGGCGUGAGAAGAAGGCUGGGAACUCCCUUGACUCUCCAAAGGCAGCCACACAAACUCCCUGUGUCUCCUGCAGCAGUGGAGGCAAGACCAUCAGAUAGGACCACAUUUGAGCUUGCCAGUAAAAUACCACUUUACAUGAUCUUUUCAGGAAGUUUAAGAGCCACCUGGCUUGAAGCUGAGGAGCAUUACACUAUAGCUGUAGAGAAAACACUACAACAGAAAGUCUGCAAACCAUACCUGGCUGAGGACAAAAGGAAGAUCUCUCCGAGACGCUUUAGUUACGUUUUUACUGCUUGCCAAGAACUCAAGUUCCUCAU